UGGGGAAUCUUAGACAAUGGGGGCAACCCUGAUCUAGCCAUGCCGCGUGAGCGAUGAAGGCCUUAGGGUUGUAAAGCUCUUUCGCCUGGGAAGAUAAUGACGGUACCAGGUAAAGAAGCCCCGGCUAACUCCGUGCCAGCAGCCGCGGUAAUACGGAGGGGGCUAGCGUUGUUCGGAAUUACUGGGCGUAAAGCGCACGUAGGCGGAUCGGAAAGUUGGGGGUGAAAUCCCGGGGCUCAACCCCGGAACUGCCUUCAAAACUACCGGUCUCGAGUUCGAGAGAGGUGAGUGGAAUUCCGAGUGUAGAGGUGAAAUUCGUAGAUAUUCGGAGGAACACCAGUGGCGAAGGCGGCUCACUGGCUCGAUACUGACGCUGAGGUGCGAAAGUGUGGGGAGCAAACAGGAUUAGAUACCCGCGUAGUCC
rnacentral:rRNA from 1 species